rnacentral:rRNA from 1 species
GACGAACGCUGGCGGCGUGCUUAACACAUGCAAGUCGAACGAUGAAGCCGGAGCUUGCUCUGGUGAAUUAGUGGCGAACGGGUGAGUAACACGUGAGUAACCUGCCCUUGACUCUGGGAUAACUGCGGGAAACUGUAGCUAAUACCGGAUACGACCCUCGGAGGCAUCUCCUGGGGGUGGAAAGAAUUUCGGUCAAGGAUGGACUCGCGGCCUAUCAGCUAGUUGGUGAGGUAAAGGCUCACCAAGGCGACGACGGGUAGCCGGCCUGAGAGGGUGACGGGCCACACUGGGACGGAGACACGGCCCAGCCUCCUACGGGAGGCAGCAGUGGGGGAUAUUGCACAAUGGGCGCAAGCCUGAUGCAGCAACGCCGCGUGAGGGAUGACGGCCUUCGGGUUGUAAACCUCUUUUAGCAGGGAAGAAGCGAAAGUGACGGUACCUGCAGAAAAAGCACCGGCUAACUACGUGCCAGCCGCCGCCGUAA